CUUGAACAUCCACUUUGAAAGCACCCCAGAAGCAUACCUGCUUAAUGAAGCCAGGAUCUGCAUUACUACCCCCAGGAAGAUCUAAAUCUUCAGAAUUUAGAAGAAAAACUCUAUUCUGUGCAGCAUGAUAAACCUGUCGGGAAACUGAAGACAAAGUCCUGCCUGACCUAAAGCUGUGGAAAGCCUUCAACUCACAAGAGAAGAAUUUCCUGCGGGAAUUAACGGACCGAGAAGGAGACAAAGAGGAGAAAAGUGCAGAAUGAGAACUGCGCUCAUAACAUACAGGAAGACUCAAAGCUUUUCAAGAUGCUAAAAAUUCAACACAACGCUUGAGAGUUAAGGUCCUGAAACUGGUGUUUAAAAGUAGUUUGCAGUCUUGUUUCCACUAAACAACUGCUACAAAAUGGAUGAAAUAAAAUAAGCUACAUCCACAUGCUUUCAGGGAGUAGGCAAUGAUGUUUGGAGCAUGCUGGCAGCUGCUGUGAGUUACCUCUGAGGUGCACAGCUCUCUCCACCCAGUGAGAGGAAGCCCAGAUUGGACCAGGUAUGACUUAUGCUCAUGGUGGCAACACCAUUUAAUACCUCACUUUAGGACUCCUUCCCAAUCAUGUCCAUCCCCAGGAAUCUACCAGUACAGAAUGCUAGCUUGGCAUUUUCCUGUCCUCUUAGUCUCAAAUCGUGAGUGAAACAGCACCUAAAGGCUUUUAAAAAUCC
rnacentral:lncRNA from 1 species